GAAUCUGCCUUCUGGUCGGGGACAACCACUGGAAACGGUGGCUAAUACCGGAUGAGCCGAAGGGUAAAAGAUUAAUUGCCAGAAGAGGAGCUCGCGUCUGAUUAGCUAGUUGGUGGGGUAAAAGCCUGCCAAGGCAUCGAUCAGUAGCUGGUCUGAGAGGACGAUCAGCCACACUGGGACUGAGACACGGCCCAGACUCCUACGGGAGGCAGCAGUGGGGAAUUUUCCGCAAUGGGCGAAAGCCUGACGGAGCAAGACCGCGUGAGGGAAGAAGGCUCUUGGGUCGUAAACCUCUUUUGUCAGGGAAGAACACAAUGACGGUACCUGACGAAUCAGCCUCGGCUAACUCCGUGCCAGCAGCCGCGGUAAUACGGAGGAGGCAAGCGUUAUCCGGAAUUAUUGGGCGUAAAGCGUCCGCAGGUGGCGAUUCAAGUCUGCGGUCAAAGACUGGGGCUUAACCCUGGAAAGGCCGUGGAAACUGAAAAGCUAGAGUGCAGUAGGGGUAGAGGGAAUUCCCGGUGUAGCGGUGAAAUGCGUAGAGCUCGGGAAGAACAUCGGUGGCGAAAGCGCUCUGCUGGACUGCAACUGACACUCAGGGACGAAAGCUAGGGGAGCG
rnacentral:rRNA from 1 species